UUAGAAUAUCUGUACUUUGCUGAUUCAUGGGUUCCUCCAAGGUCACAUACUAUAUUUGCACCAUGCUUAGGAAGGAGCCUACAGACCUAUAAUGGAUGACUUCUCUAUGACUAGGUGCUCUGUUUGAACCAUGCUUAGGAAGGAGCAUGCAGACAAAUAAUGAACGUUUGUGAUGACUUAAAGAUUCUGCCAAGGUCACAUGCUUUAUUUGCACCAUGCUUCAGAAGGAGCAUGCAAGAUAAUGUAAGUAGUCAACAUUCUUAUCUUAGUUUGGGUGGUUUGUUUAAGAGGAUUCAGUGUAUUAUAAAAAAGGUAUAUAAUACAAUAAAAGAUGGCCAAAUGUAUCUUAGUUAUAGAUAUAGGAAUGAUUCGAAGUAUUAUAUUGAAUACCCAAGGCUGUUCUUGGGUUUUUGAAAACCAAAGGUUUUUAAAUUAUUAGUGAAUUUAUGGACUAAUCAAUAGAGAAAGUACAAUGUAUGGAGAAAAAUAGGGCAAAUUCUGGAUCGAUGAUGAUUCCAUGUGGCAUAUUAGUUAUACGAUGAAUACAUCUGGGAUUCUGAGGUCCAUUACAAACGUCAAUUCCCUCUGUUUUAAAUGAUCCUAGAAGGAGAUGUCAGGGACGUAGAA